GAAAUGUGAGGAUGACUCAGGGUGAAUUUCCCAGACUCUGCCAAGACGGAGGAUUGCUCAGGAUACAAAUCUAAUCAUAUCAUUUCCCUGUUCCUAAGCAUACUGCCAAGUUUGUUCACCAAAUGAGUCAACAGGCUCCUCUCCAUGCCUCUGUGCAUGUGUUCCCAUGUGCUCUGUCCUAACUCAGUUGCCUUAUCCAUUGGGAAUCUCUUCCUUUCAG
rnacentral:lncRNA from 10 species